rnacentral:lncRNA from 1 species
GCCCCUUCGUAUAGUGUUUUCAUAUCUCAAUUGAUACGUUAUUCUCGCGCAUGUUCACACUAUACGGACUUCAUAUACAGGAGUGUGUUCCUAACGCAGAAACUGCUCCAACAAAGUUAUGAGGAAGAAUAUUAAAAAUGACACUCCGUAAAUUUUUUGGACACCAUCACAAAUUGGUUGAUCCAUACGAUCUGUUUUUGUCCAAACUAACUAAGGACAUUUUUAC